CCGAGAAGCAACUGAAGGGACUCUGCUUUCUUUUUGAGCUGCUUAAAACACAAGUGCUGUAAAAGAAGCGCCGAUUCAGAAUUACAGAAGUGGUGAGAAGAAAAAGGAGACGUCAAGUAGUGCAGAGAGACAGAAACUCAGAUAUUAAACUUUCAGCAGAUGGAAUGAGUGCCCAUGUGCAAGCUUUGGUAGCAGAACAGCUUCAGGGGUUGGCCUUCGUGAGAAGAGACCUCCAUCUCCAACAGAGCCAGUGAUCUCUGAAAUACACCUGCUGCAGGAUAAAGAUCGAAAAGAAAUAUCUUCCUGGCAGCACUGUGUAUGGAAGGAAUAAGGAAAGUAACAAGGAGAAAGUUGCGCGCAUUUACAACUCUACUGGGAGAUGGUUGGAAGUACAAAGAGG
ensembl:lncRNA